rnacentral:lncRNA from 1 species
UCAUCCUCACCAUCCAUUCCUCUUAAGUUAUUUCUAUCCAUUAGAUAUAGGUUUAUGAGUUUGCAAGAGUGUAAAACCUAUAUAAAGACCCUUAUGGGCGUGUCUAGCUCUCUUAAGAGAGUAUGGGGGUUUUCCCCAUCUCCUUCAUAAAUAUAAAAGUGUGUUCUUGAUCAGAUUCCCUUAAUCUACCCCUUUCUUAGUCUCUAAUCUCUUAAUCUCUCUAAGUCUCUUUGUUUCUGAUUCAAGUUCAUACUUGUUUCAUCAGACCUCUUAUUCAACUAGUUCAAGACCUCAUUCUUUGCCUCUAAUGGCUUCUCAUACACAUACACAGCCAGAGCUCUCAAAUCUCAUAUGGUAUCAGAGCCAGGUUCAUCAGAACCUGAGCUGAAGCUUCCGCAAACACACUGCUCUCUCCUCAGCUCAAAUCCAAACCAUUGAAGCUCUCUCCAUCCGGUUCAGCUCAUUAUGAAGAAGAAGACUGAAGCUUGGCGAGUUCUCAUGGUUCCUCAUCCUGUUCUCUUCCUGUCCUGAUGGUGAUUCUCCUUGGAAGCAGAGGUGUAUGGACAAGGCCUAGCUAUCCUUGUACCAAGGCGCCUUGUCCAAGAGAAGAACACAUCCGGUUCCAAAGAAGAUGGUGUCAAGAGCUUGGCGCCUAGUGGAGAUGAAGAAAGGAGGGGUCUUUGAAGCUGAUGGUACAAGAUGGAGGCCAUGAACUGAAGGUGAAGGAGGUGGGUGACGAUCCACACUCUCAAGUCCAACAAAGCAUGGCCGGUUUCAUGAAAGGUUAAGGAACCAAUCUGGUUCCUUGUGGUAAACGAUUCUUAAAACCUUCUUGAUGAUGAGCAGAUGAUAAGAUGAGUUGUGUAUUGUGAUGUGUAUAGAUUGAAAAACCUGAGGAUAAUGUGAUUGCUAAAUAUAACUAGUUGAAUCUGUCCCAGGAUGCUUUAAAGGCUUGUUUAGUGUUUAAAGAGUAAAAUGCUUGCUCCUGUUAAGUAAUGAGUUUGCUAAAUGUGAAAUGAUAUAGUUUGAAGCUCAUGAACUGAAAACAGAUUGAAAGUAAUGCAUUGUCUGAUGUUAAGUGAUGAUAGUAAUGCUUAGCCUAAGUUAUAAAUGAAUGUGUGAUGAAUUGUAUUGUUGCAUUCAUGAAUUAGAACUGAUUAAGGUUAGUGCAUACUGUCAAAUGGCUGUCUUACAUUGAAGCAUUAGAUUCAUGUCUAAAUGCUGAGUAAAGGAGCUGUCAAAAAUUGCCUGAGUAUCUUGUAAUGAAUCUGUAGGAUCAUACUAGAACUUAGAGAGCUAAGCUUGCAAUGAUUUGAAACUUGGGUGUCUUGUUUGAUCUUGCAUUGCUUUAGUGAGACAUUGGUGUUCAAGCUUGAUGUGGAAUCAAGGACUGACCCAAUGCACCUAUGUCUAAUCUUCUCUGGAGGUUGAGUGGUGUUUCAGGUGCACAAGGAGUGUUCUUAGUUCUUCACCAAUCCAAGAGAAAGAGGAAGGCAUUGCCCAUUGUCAUGAGCAAUGGAGAGCGGUUACUGAAGUGGUUAUGUACCACUGGUUAGUGAAGACUCACGGCUGCUCACUUCCAAGCUUGGACCCUCAUUCUAUCCAAGCUUGAGGAGGGGAGUUAAGUGAGCAAAGAAGGAAGACCAUGGCAAGCAACUGAUGGAAAAGGAGUCAUCCAGCUGUGGGAAGAACAAGGGAGUGUUCAGAGCACUCUCGGCUGUGUGAAGAUGAUGGAGCUACUCUAUCAAGGCGGCUUCCAGUGUGAGCAGUCUGAAGAGGGAGCUGAAGGUUCCACAAGCAUUCCAUGGAGAUGGCGAGUUCAGAAGGUGCUGCAAGGGUCUGAUGGUGUGAUCAUGAAGCUGCUCUCCCAAGCUUGACUUGUUCCAUAUGGUCAAGCUUGAGGGGGAGUGUUGAGAAGACUUCAAUGAUCACAAAGAUGCUGGUUUACGAAGGUGGACAGCAGUGAGCAAAGAUGGAUGAUCAAGAAGCUCUCCUUCCAAGCUUGACUUGUUCCACAUGGUCAAGCUUGAGGGGGAGUGUUGAGAAGGCUUCUUGAUGAGAGCACUUGGCGGUUAAUCAAGAAGAGGAGCAGACUGGUUUGUGAAGCAAGAUGGAGGAUGGUGAAGCAAUCACCAAGGCGGCCAAAGCAGAGCAGCCUUGAUACUACAGACUGAACCAUCCGAUCAUGAAGCUUUAGAACUAGGUGGAGACUCUAGAAGGAGAAGCAGCCAAGGCUCCACAAGUUCUUGAUACUCUUGGUGCGAGUAUGAUCUGAUGGUUCCAUAUGAAGCUAGAAGAAGGUCAGACCGUGAGAAGAGUACAAGAUGAAGGGUGAUGAGCAAGGGAAGAUGUGAUCAACCUUGCAUCACAAGAAGAGGCCAUGAUCCAGAGUCUUUGUGUCCCUUACAUUGUUGGUAAGGCACAAAGACUCACUGGCCAAUCCCUAGGCCUUGGAGGCUUUACUCUUUUUCCCUCAUCAAGGUUUUGUCCCAAAGGGUUUUCCUUGGUGAGGUUUUUAAUGAGGAAGUUCUUCAAGGUUCCAAGCUUGACUUAGGAUCAGCUAGAGUCAAGCUUGAGGGGGAGUGUUAACUUGAAGAGAAGAAGUGGAGAAGCAAAAGUGAUGAGUUGAGUUGGUGCUUGUGCAAAGACAUGGCAAGAUCUUCAGAGAUUGUAUGUUAAGGCUUUGGGAGAGUCUUAAGGCUUCAGAAGUGGUCUGAUGAGUGUGCAAAGAUAGGGUUAAGUCCAGGAGGGACUUAGACACCAUUUAGAGAAGAUUUGGGUCAGACAGUAACUCCAAAGUUACCACAGUAACUUUGGAGAGUUACCACAGUAAGAUUGGAGAAGGUUGGGCAAGUUGGUGUAAAAGUGAAUAGUGAAUCACUAGUCACUAUUCAGGUUGACUAUUCACUAUUUGGAUCACUAUUCAGGAUGUGAGGCACCAAGGUUUGAAUCUAGUCAAAGGGAAUCAAGAAGAUGCUGUGUGGAGCUGAUUGGUUACUUUGGGGCAUGGACAGGCUGGCUGUUGCUGUAAAGGAAGAGCAGCCACGACCAUGCACCUAGACUGAUCUGUAGACAGAUACAAAGGAGCCUAAGGAGAGCCAAUCACAGCACAGCCUUGUUUGAAUUAAAGUGAGCCAGCUUAGCUCAUCCAAUCAGCACACAUCACUCAGAUCACAACAAGACCAACUCAUCCUCACCAUCCAUUCCUCUUAAGUUAUUUCUAUCCAUUAGAUAUAGGUUUAUGAGUUUGCAAGAGUGUAAAACCUAUAUAAAGACCCUUAUGGGCGUGUCUAGCUCUCUUAAGAGAGUAUGGGGGUUUUCCCCAUCUCCUUCAUAAAUAUAAAAGUGUGUUCUUGAUCAGAUUCCCUUAAUCUACCCCUUUCUUAGUCUCUAAUCUCUUAAUCUCUCUAAGUCUCUUUGUUUCUGAUUCAAGUUCAUACUUGUUUCAUCAGACCUCUUAUUCAACUAGUUCAAGACCUCAUUCUUUGCCUCUAAUGGCUUCUCAUACACAUACACAGCCAGAGCUCUCAAAUCUCAUAUGGUAUCAGAGCCAGGUUCAUCAGAACCUGAGCUGAAGCUUCCGCAAACACACUGCUCUCUC